GAUCUCCCCUCCCCCGAAAUGAGGAGAAUGAACUAAUCGCUGAGUGCUUUUGGUACGCUGCAUAUAAAGAUAUGGAACCUGUUGAUACUAUCAGAUAAAGGAUGCGGCAGCAGGGGUGGUGUUGAUAACAAGGAGCUGUAUUCAGGAGGAGUACCAGUCGACCAUGUACGUGGCAAAGUACCCGUAUGACGACCAGAAGGAGGACGAGAUUGGGCUACAGGUUGAUGAUGUCUUAGUGAACGUUGAAGACCUUGGUAAUGGCUGGUGGCUUGGUUUGAACAAACGGACUGGAAAGACCGGUGUGUUUCCCCAGCAAUACGUCGAAGAAAGGCCAAAGCAAGCGAAAUCAAAAGGACAAAAUGGUAAAAAGUCUGCGAAGGUCGUAUCAGAAAUCAAUCUUCAAGUUCUCAAUUUGAACUCUCCUACAAAAAGCGAUGGCGAGGAUGAAGCCCCAGCACAUGAUUCGACCGAACACAAGGCGGGAACGAAGGGGAAACUGUCAGCAAGCGUGGAUGCACUAGGGAAACUCGGCCAGAGUUUGUUCAAAAGCAGGACCGAUGAACACAGAGGGAUAAAAGCUGCUUUAGGCGUGCUUGUUGGCGUCCUUAUUGGAGGGGGGCUGUUUGCUGCCCUGCACUUCAGCUUCCAGUACAGCUUCGGUGUAGCAGGAGGGAUAGCAGGGGCAGCAACUCUGGUCAUGUGUGUUCUGCUGGCUGUGUCAGUCCGCGCUCGGUGUGUGACAGCACUGAUGAGUGUGAGCAUAUUCACAGGCAAGGGUCGUGCAGCGUUCUUGUCCAUCAUCGCCGGGCUGCUGCUGAUGGGACCAGUUACCAACAUUGUCAAUAAUACAAACGAAGUUGCGGACACCAUGGCGUGCAUCACGGAGCUGGCCUACAACCAGAGUCAGAUGUUGCAGCAGAGGCUUCAGGAACCACUGCAGCAGGUCAAGGAGACACUUCUUCAGACUGCCAGUGAGAUAAAGGAUACAACCGACGAAAUAAAUAAAGCAUUCGGUGGGCUUAAGGAAGGAUUCGCUGCUGUUAGUGGGGGACUAGACAAGGCAUCAAGUGCUUUUCAGGAAGCCACGAGGGUCUGCAGAGCAUCCUAUGGAUCCGUGUUUUCCAAGUGUGCCAAUGUUCUAAGUGGGGCUGAGCGAUCGUGUCGACAGAAGAUUUCAUCAGUAACAGAUAAACUGAAUCCUGGCAAUGUGGUAGAUAAAAUCAAAGACGGUUUUAAAGGAUUUAUCUUUCGUAGGAAACGGGACGUCAUUCCGUCGGAAUCUGAUCAAGCCAAAAGAACCAGACAUACACGAGCGAUAGCAGAUGACAUAUGUAGCGUCCUCAAAGCUGGGCAGUUAUGUAACGGACUCAAAAGCAUCGACCUCUGUUCACCAUUGUCCUUGGUUGACAAUGCGAUAACUGACGGAGUAAAAGAAGUUUUGAAUGAAAUAAGAAAGGUAGAAGGACUUUUCAACUUCCAACUGAGAAACAUAGGGGAAGUUUCAGGUCAGGCCAACUCGUCUGGAAGCGCUUCGGAGAUAUUAGACAGUAUUCGAACGGACCUCAAGGAAAAACUCGAUGUAGCUUUCUUUAUUGUCAACGUGAUCAACAGAGUAUUGUCUUUCUUGAUAAUGUUGGUCCUAAUUCAAGCAUUCUUCUACAGCAAGAAGUACUUAUCCAACCUCCGCUUUGACAAUAUCUACCUAACGAAACAGAUGAAGGCGCUUGAUGCAUCCAGACUACAGAACAAGGAGAAGCAGCUGUUGCCACUUAAGAGGAACGAAAAGAAGAAAUACAUUGAUUCAACCUCGAUACGACUGUCACCUUCAGAAUUCCGCACUUGGAGGAAUGGUAUGGUGACUGUUCUCAUGCAUGUGCUGAUUGCGGCCUUAUUAGUCAUCUUUGAUUACCUGUUCUAUUAUAUUCUGUAUCUGAUCAAUAAGCAUGGUCGCUUUGAGUUCAAUUUAUCUGGAAUGUCCAGACUCCAGUUGAUAGUUGAAGGGUCUGGUUUGAUAACUAAUGUCUUCAAGAAGUUUAUCUCAGGCUUUAACAUAGAACAGGCCUACGACACUUCUCUUGAUAUUGAGAAGUGCCUGCCUAUGCCAAACACUCCUGACCAGAAUACUCUGUAUGUGCUCCUUAUUCUGUACAUCCUGGCCAUAACGUUUGUAGUAUUGCAAGCAUAUGGCCUACGGUUGCGACACAAGAUUGCAGCUUUCUAUUACCCUGAACAAGAAACUGCCCGAGUGCAGUAUCUGUAUCGACUCAUUGAAGUGAAGCGGAGAAGUUUUAUGGAUGACCUCAAGAAAAUGAUGUCAGAUCGGCCGCCCAAGGACACUGAGGUCAAAUCAAAGGAGGAAUCAAAGCGGUCAUCCUGUUGCUCUCGAAUAGCUUGUUUCAAGAAAGGGGCAAAAGUCAACUGCGUGCAGUGUGAAGAAGAGACCCGAAAUGGAUGGAGAUGCAGAAGUUCAGAGUGUCAAGCUGACUUCUGUGAAACCUGUUACAAGGACAACGAUAAACGUUGUCCCCUUUGUAACACCAAGUAGGCUGGUUGGUGUGUAUGGUGCCUCUCAUGUUAGAGUGAUGUACGAGUGAUUAAGUAUGGCUUCUCCACCACUUGCAGCAAUAUCACUCCCAUGUCACGGUGGGGUACACCAAGUACAUGUUUACACAUGUUUGGUAACUAACCUACAUCUUCCACCUGUCAAAAGAUGCUUUAACACCAAGGCUACCCACCCGCGUUUCUUGAUCAAUAACCAUUUGGGUACAUUAUUCAUUACAAAUAAUAUUAGAGACAAUAUGUUUUGCCUAAAACUUGAUAAAACAUUAUUUCAUUCCGCACUUUUGAAAUAGAUUGUCCAUGUCUUAAAAGAAAGGGAAACAAUAAUGGCAGUUCACGGAUGUACUGUUAAACCUCAUUCAGGACUGACGACAUUCCCACUAUGCAUGUUCAUCCACAACCUGUGUCAGGACCCGCUGGUCGUUGAUGAAAAAACUCCGAUUUGCAUUGAUUUUCACCUUGAUCUGUUGCGGGAAUUUGAAACAAUACUUUUUCGCAAGGGUUAAUUAAAUAUUACCCAUACGUUUUCUUUUUAAGGUUUCCGGUUUUGUUAUGCCUUGUUGAAGACGGUUACUUCGCCCCCUUUUUAUUGUCCUGGAUCUUACGAUUAUGAAGACAUAUAUAGUUACAGCUUUUUCUUGGCUCAUUUCAAGCCUAUUACGUAUUAGUUUUUGCCCUAUUUCCAUUUAUAUCUGCUUUUUUUGCUUUCAAAUGAUAUCUUAUUUUGUUUUCUUUUUAUGAGAAUGUCUUACGCUUGUAUUCUUCUUUUCUUGUUGUAACCCUGCUGGACCCUUGGGGACAUUUCCACAAGAUCUCUAGCCCUUUUUCACCUUCUGUGUCAAUAUUGUAAUAGUGUCAUCUGUGAAACCGAGACAUUAUCUAUAUGUGAUUAGGGUAUACUACUACGAUGCAUCACAUGAUGUACAUCUUAAAAUUUGAGUUAGCUGACAAAGAAAAUAGUGUUUGAGGAUUUGAAAUUGUAUUGACAAUUGCCCCCCCUUUAAGAUGUGUCUAGUAAGAGGAGAUAAUCUGUUGUUCAGUUGCUCCCGUGUGAACGGUGUGUGCUUUGAUAUCAUUACACUGUUGAUGCUGCGGAAUAUGUUAUCAAAACCUCGUUAACUCGAAAGCUGUGAGGUCAUUGGAAAUAUGUUGUGUUACCUUUAGUUCAAGACUGGUAGUGGCAAUGGGGGUCAGGACCAAGGCUUAUCGUAAACGAUAUAUCGAAACAUUUGAGUUUGAUUUAGCGAGGUUCCACUGUGUACUGGUAGUGUCAAUAGGCCCCAGGACCAAGGCUUAUCUUAAACGAUAUAUCGAAACAUUUGAGUUUGAUUUAGCGAGGUUCCACUGUGUACUGGUAGUGUCAAUAGGCCCCAGGACCAAGGCUUAUCUUAAACGAUAUAUCGAAACAUUUGAAUUUGAUUUAGCGAGGUUCCACUGUGUACUGGUAGUGUCAAUAGGCCCCAGGACCAAGGCUUAUCUUAAACGAUAUAUCGAAACAUUUGAGUUUGAUUUAGCGAGGUUCCACUGUGUACUGGUAGUGUCAAUAGGCCCCAGGACCAAGGCUUAUCUUAAACGAUAUAUCGAAACAUUUGAGUUUGAUUUAGCGAGGUUCCACUGUGUACUGGUAGUGUCAAUAGGCCCCAGGACCGAGGCUUAUCUUAAACGAUAUAUCGAAACAUUUGAAUUUGAUUUAGCGAGGUUCCACUGUGUACUGGUAGUGUCAAUAGGCCCCAGGACCAAGGCUUAUCUUAAACGAUAUAUCGAAACAUUUGAGUUUGAUUUAGCGAGGUUCAACUGUGUACUGGUAGUGUCAAUAGGCCCCAGGACCAAGGCUUAUAUUAAAUGAUAUAUCGAAACAUUUGAGUUUGAUUUAGCGAGGUUCCAAUGUGGACUGGUAGUAUCAAUAUUCUCCAGGACCGAGGCUUAUCUUAAACAAUAUAUAGAAACAUUUGAGUUUGAUUUAGCGAGGUUCAACUGUGCAGCUAUUUGUACAUAUCACAUAUGUUUUUUUGUGGUUAUCGCAUCUUUACACAUUGAUAAGAUGCUCUGUUCCUCCUUGAUCUAGUUACAAAUCUCCACACAGCUGUGUUAUUGUAAUAUUUGUGAGCCAGGUGCCUAUAGCAUGAGCAUCGAACCACACCAUGUGGAUACGUUGAUGCUCUAGCUCAGUCGGAUCAGCUGAUCUUCCGAGAAUGUCAUAAAUGAUAACUGAAAUAUGUAUAUUUUUGUAACAAAACUACAGUGUACCAUGUCUGUCAUCAAAUGAUGAUGGUGUUGCAUUGAUGAAGUUUGUUUUGUACUAAUAGUUGUAAAGUUACUAUGUUUCUGUUUAUAUAUGCAUAAUAAUAAAUUUUGAAGAAGUUAUUUCUAAUAAACCGAUCUUCAGCAUGUUUAAGGGGUUUCCGAACAUUUCGGUAACAUUUAACAAUUUGAUUGGGAUACUGUUGAUGUUGAUACAUGUUUAAUAUAUUUUACCUUCUAUGCCUCAUCUUAACAUCUGAAUAAACUAUAAACUGCUCAA
rnacentral:misc_RNA from 1 species